rnacentral:rRNA from 1 species
UACGAGGACGAACGCUGGCGGCGUGCUUAACACAUGCAAGUCGAACGGACUGCUUCAAGCUUGCUUGGGGUGGUGAGUGGCGAACGGGUGAGUAACACGUGAGUAACCUGCCCUCUUCUUUGGGAUAACGGCCGGAAACGGCUGCUAAUACCGGGUAUUCACUGGUCUCCGCAUGGGGGUUGGUGGAAAGGGGCCCUUUUGGGGGUUUCUGGUGGGGGAUGGGCUCGCGGCUUAUCAGCUUGUUGGUGGGGUGAUGGCCUACCAAGGCUUUGACGGGUAGCCGGCCUGAGAGGGUGACCGGUCACAUUGGGACUGAGAUACGGCCCAGACUCCUACGGGAGGCAGCAGUGGGGAAUUUUGCACAAUGGGCGAAGCCUGAUGCAGCGACGCCGCGUGAGGGAUGGAGGCCUUCGGGUUGUAAACCUCUUUCGCUCAUGGUCAAGCCGCGGAUUUGUUCGUGGUGAGGGUAGUGGGUAAAGAAGCGCCGGCUAACUACGUGCCAGCAGCCGCGGUAAU